rnacentral:rRNA from 1 species
UACGAAGGGAGCUAGGCGUUGUUCGGAAUCACUGGGCGUAAAGCGCACGUAGGCGGAUGUGUCAGUCAGGGGUGAAAUCCCGGAGCUCAACUUCGGAACUGCCUUUGAUACAGCACGUCUUGAGUCCGGAAGAGGUGGGUGGAAUUCCUAGUGUAGAAGGUGAAAUUCGUAGAUAUUAGGAAAGAACACCGGUGGCGAAGGCG